CCUCCAGAGGUAGCCAAAAGCCCCAGUAAAGGAAAGCUCCCUAUUUUUGGCCUAUAGAUUGCACAAGGCUCCCAAGUACGGAAACUCUGUUUCUGUUUUAUUUUUAAGUCCCUACAGUGCCUGCUUGUAGAGCUCCCAGACAGUGUGCACACACAGACAUUCAGUAACUGCUGGGGAUCACGAGGGCUAGCGGUGAUAACGCAUGUCCUGAAUUACUACUGACUUAACAGGCUGUUAUUACCACAUUACAUUUGUGUGGGCCACAUUUGCUGUCUUCUGCACUCUUGGGCCAGGGCGGCCCGUGCCUUAGGUGGUCAAUUCCCUUAGAGUUGCUACUGAUUGAUAUAUGCUCUCAGGUUGGGCCAGAUUGGAAGUGGUAAGCUCAUAAUUGCGGGACUAACUUUCCUGGGAAACAAGCAAAAAAAAAAAAAAAAACCAAAAAACCACAAAAAAACAAAGCAAAACAAAACAAAACCCAGAGCAAUAAAAGCUACUGUUCAGUUCAACCUGCCCCACCCCCCAUUUCCCAAAAGCCAGCUGGGCUCUCUGGCUGUACUCUAGAGGCCACAGGCCUAAACUGGGGAGGUUUCAGAACAUAGCCGGAACUGGGUCCGUCCCUGGUGCCUGGAGACAUCAGGAUACCUUGGGACCCAAACCGGAGAUGUCUUCGUUCCUUAAACCAAAAGCAACUGCACGUCAGUAAUAUGUUAGGCCCUGUGUUUAGCACAGGGGAUGCAAAGUUAAGUCAAACAGGGUCCCUGCCUCCAAAAACCUUAUAGCUUAUCAUCAGGGACACAGACAUAAAUAAUGAGAUGUAUUGAAUGCAGUGUGGUAAGUGCACGCCGGGGCUGAGUGCAGGGAUGGGGGUUGGGUGAAGGACAAGGAUGCAUUCCCAGAAGUGAUAGUGAGCUGAGUCUUGAGAGAGAGAGAGCUGGCUUAAGCAACCACAGGCAUUCCAGGCCAAGGGAACAUGAAGCGAGGGAGAGCUUUGAGCCUCUGAAGCGCUGCGAGCAGCUCAUCGUAGCUGGAAUGAAGAUUAGGAGGCCUUGAGGUUCACAGAACAAUUGCUUUGGGUGUGAUGUCCCGAGCAAGAAAUAACCCGCAUCAGGGAUGGAACGAGGGCGGCAGGCACAUGGUGAAAAUAAGUCAACAGAGAAAGCAAGGAAGAGAUGGGCCCUUCAUCAGAUGGUUUUUGGCUUUAUCGAUACAAAACUAUUCCAGCUAAUUGUUCCCCAAGGUUUUCAAAAGGACUAAAAUGCCUUAGCACCAAAUCCCAACAUUCCUGGCACACAAGCAUGGCUGUACGAAGGGACGACUCUUUCUGGCUGGGCAGUCUCUGUGCCGGGCAAGCAGGCAGAGGCCUCACAGGUGAAGCUUCUUCAUAAACGCAGUGACCAAAGAAAAACCAAUUGCCGCUUUCACAUUGUGCUCGUGUGAUCGAGAUGAUUCUGCCGAGCUGCUGUUAAUACUUCUGCAAUUGUCAAACGAGCCAAUGAGAAAUGCGUCGAAGUCGCUCCACACCAGCGCUCAGACCCAUUACUGUAGGUCACAACAGCGAUUACUUCUUGCCAGAACAUGCGCUUACGGAGAGGUGCCUCCAAGAUACAGCAAUCUUGUUUGUCCGAGAAGCCCUCGCCGUUUCUAGGAGAACAUGGGGCAGAUCUGAAAGCCUGGUCUCACUAGUACGUGGCAGGGCUCCUCCUGAGGUCACACAUUUGGAAUAACAAAUGUCACAGAUCCCCUAUGUUGGCUUGACACCCCCCCCCCCACCACCACUUUUUCCCUAGCCAUUUUGACCAUGAACAUAUCUGGAUGCGGGGCGCCUGCGUGGCUCAGUCGGUUCAGCACCCUACUCUUGGUUUCAGCUCAGGUCACGAUCAGGAAGUUUUGUGGGUUUGAGCCCCACAUCGGGGCUCUGCGCUGGGAGCAUGGAGCCUCCUGCUGGAAUUCUCCCUCUCGCCCUCUCUCUCUGCCCCUCCCCCAUUGGCACUGUCUCCGUCUCUCUCAAAAUAAGUAAACUUAAAAAAAAAAAAAUACCUGGAUGCUUGGAACUUCUCAGCAAACACAAAACUUACAAAGCUCACAGAGGCUUGGAAACAUAGCCUAUCUGCAGGCAAUGAGAUAGUAGGUGGGGAUUGAGGAUAAAGGAUAAAAGAGGUUUCGGUGUUGAAUGAGGGGAAACCACAUUGUACCAAGACACAACAAAAACCCUGAUGAACAGAUCUGUGCAAGGUGACAGUAGAGGGUGUGUGUGUGUGUGUGUGUGUGUGCACGCGCGCAUGCAAUGACGCAUGUGAGCGAGGUGAAAGGGGGUGGGAGUGUGUGAGGCAGGGUGAGCAAGAAAAGGAAAAGAGAAGUGGGGGAGGGGGAUGAGAGAGAAUGCUCCGGUAAUCUCUGGGAGCUGAGCUGACUUCCCACCACGUUGAGGGGCCAUGCCUGCUGGUGACAGUAUGUGUCCUGUCCCCAUACAAGACAAUGUGAAAGGGACAGAGCCAGUGGGGACAGCUCUAGAGGAUCUGUAGAAUGGAGAGAGUUCGGCUUGAACUUGCUUCAUCGCUACUUUUGGACCAGCUAGCAGUCGUGGGAAAGCAGAAAUAACAAAAUGGGGACCCUUCAGUGGAUUUGAGUUGAAAUGGAGUCCUGAGCCCUCGAGGACUUUCCUGCGGUGGAGUGUCAUUGUUCUUUGUGACAAGCAACAGAGCAUUCGAGAAACUGGCAGGCCUGACUGACCAACCUGAUGCAGUGGUUGUCUGCAGAGUGGGCUUAAUAGUCUGCCCUUUCUGAGGGUCUGCUUGCUCAAGGGCAGGGAAGAAUGAGAGAAGCAGACUAGACAAGAGGCCUCUUACGAUUUCCUUGAACUCCCACUUGUAGGGUCAUCAUUACACAUGACGAUGUCUAGAAAGCCAUCUGGCAAAUAACCGGCCCCAAGCUGGGAUUAUUAAAAAUGGGGUUUAGGAAGAACGAGGUACAAUCAGGGCCAUUAUGAGAACCAGGUCUAAGGGACUGGACAUAACAUGAUAGAAGGCUCAUUUAUAAGACAAAUCUCCACACCUUGAAGAACCUUAUUUCUUUUCUGAGUAAAGCUUUUUAGUUCUUUUUAGCCUUCCUGUGUUUUUUAAUUUUUUAAUUAUUUUUUUACUGUUUAUUCAUUUUUUGAGAGAGAGAGAGAGAGAGAGAGAGACAGAGUGUGAGCAAGGGAGGGACAGAGAGAGAGGAAGACACAGAAUCUGAAGCAGCCUCCAGGCUCUGAGCUGACAGCACAGAGCCUGAUGCGGGGCUCAAACUCAUGAACCUCGAGAUCAUGACCCGAGCCAAAGCCAGACGCUUAACCAACUGAGCCACCAAGGCACCCCUCAUUGUUUUAAAAAUAAUCUUAAAUGUAUGGAAACCAAUUUUAUGAUAAAUUUCAUAUUAAAAAAUAAUAAUCUCAAAGGGGGUAAAUCACCCAAAAAAAUCACCCAAGAAUCUGCCACUCAGAGUCAACUACUAUUAACAUUUCAACAUAUUUCCAAUCUUCCUUCCAUUAAUUUCCCUUUCUUUCUUCCUUUCCUUUGUUAGGAGGCUCCACACUCAGCAUGGAGUCCAACAUGGGGACUGAACUCAGGACCUUAAUAAAGAUCAAGAGUCAGACACUUAACCAACCUAGCCACCCAGGCUACCCCUCAUUUUUCUUUCAAUAACUGAAAUCAUGAUGUGUCUGGAUUAGUUGGGCUUUUGUUGCGGUUGAUGCAAGGUGGAAGGUUUGCUAAAGUCACCUUAAGUAAUCAAGUAAUGGAGGUUUACUGUAAGAGCACAGGCCUGAUAUCAUGGGCCCCCAGGACUGAAUAUCAGGUCUCAUGGUGUCUAGAAUGUAGCUCUGAGACUUCAGGUCAUGCAGGACCCAGCACAGCUUUAGCAAACCAGGUUAUUUAUUUCCCUCUCACUUCCUUAACCCUAUGGACUGUGGCAGACGGUGUUUUCCAAAGAUGGCUGCAACAGUAUCUCCUAUUCCCCAUGCUGCUCCAGACCGUUGCCACUCCUGUGGCAAGAUGGGGAGCCUGUGACCCCUGCCUUUGAUACUAGGAUGACCUUGGUGACCUCCAACAAUGCUCUGACUUCUAAGUCCAGGUCAUAAACAUGCCAUGUGCUAAAAGAAAGGAACAGAAAGGAAAGGAAAGGAAAGGGAAGAAAAGAAAAGAAGAGAAAAGAAAAGAUCAUGCUCUUCAACCUUGUCCUUUUGAAACCCAGUCACCAUGUUGGGAGGAAGUCCAUGAAGAAAACCAUGUGGAGGACAACAGAGGCCCAUGGCUCAUAGUGAGCCCAAAUGUGCCAGCUCUGUGAGUGAGCCAUAUUGAAACUGGACCCUCUACCCCCAGGUGAACUUCCCUCCCUGACUCUCCUCAUGAAACAGAAAAUAACUGUCACCACUCAGCUCUGACAAAUUAUAGACUUGUGAGGGCACCUACAAAUGAGUGGCUUAGUCGGUUAAGCCCCCGACUCUUGAUCUCGGCUCAGGGUCAAGAGUUUAAGCCCCACAUUAGGCGUCACCCUGGACAUGAAGCCUACUUAAAAAAUGAUAAUAAA